rnacentral:misc_RNA from 1 species
GAAAUGCGAUAAGUAGUGUGAAUUGCAGAAUUCAGUGAAUCAUCGAAUCUUUGAACGCACAUUGCGCCCUUUGGUAUUCCCUAGGGCAUGCCUGUUCGAGCGUCAUCUAAACCUUCAAGCCCUGCUUGGUGUUGGGUGCCUGUCCCGCCUCCGCGCGCGGACUCACCUCAAAUCCAUUGGCGGCCCCCGCGUCGGCCACGAGCGCAGCAGAAACGCGAACUCGUGAGCCCGUCCCGGCGGCUCCCAGAAGCUACACCCACCCAGUUUGACCUCGGAUCAGGUAGGGAUACCCGCUGAACUUAAGC